rnacentral:rRNA from 1 species
GAACGCCCGGGCUUCGGCCUGGUUAUUCAUAACCCUUUGUUGUCCGACUCUGUUGCCUCCGGGGCGACCCUGCCUUCGGGCGGGGGCUCCGGGUGGACACUUCAAACUCUUGCGUAACUUUGCAGUCUGAGUAAACUUAAUUAAUAAAUUAAAACUUUUAACAACGGAUCUCUUGGUUCUGGCAUCGAUGAAGAACGCAGCGAAAUGCGAUAAGUAAUGUGAAUUGCAGAAUUCAGUGAAUCAUCGAAUCUUUGAACGCACAUUGCGCCCCCUGGUAUUCCGGGGGGCAUGCCUGUUCGAGCGUCAUUUCACCACUCAAGCCUCGCUUGGUAUUGGGCAACGCGGUCCGCCGCGUGCCUCAAAUCGUCCGGCUGGGUCUUCUGUCCCCUAAGCGUUGUGGAAACUAUUCGCUAAAGGGUGUUCGGGAGGCUACGCCGUAAAACAACCCCAUUUCUAAGGUUGACCUCGGAUCAGGUAGGGAUACCCGCUGAACUUAAGCAUA